AAGUACAGUACUUCGUGUGCAGAUUAAAUGUGAAAAUUUCACAUAAAUGGUAAAAAUAAGGCGCAGUGCUUCACUAUUCUUCAAACUAAAUGUCAUUCAUUAUUCAUAAGCUCAUCAGGGAUAUUAAUUACAUAGCAACAUGCUGGUUUUUGACUAAAAUGUGUUCCCUUCAUGUGAACUUCCUGUUUUCUCUGAUGCUAAAUGCAGUGAAAUCGAAAAGGCAGUGAGAAGUGACAACCACAACUUGGUGCUACCUCAAUGUCAGUUUCAUGACCCAGUUCGUAACUCAUAUAUUCUGUCAUUAAAAAAUUACUACAGUAAUGUGAAACAACAUUACAAGAGCAAAUGGAAGAGAGUAGAA